rnacentral:rRNA from 1 species
CACCGCGGUUAUACGAGAGACCCAAGUUGACAGUCUUCGGCGUAAAGAGUGGUUAAGGAACUUAUUAAACUAAAGCCAAACACCCCCUAGGCUGUUAUACGCACCUGAGGGCACGAAGCUCCCCCACGAAAGUGGCUUUACCCCUUCCCUGAACCCACGACAGCUAUGUUA